rnacentral:rRNA from 1 species
AGUGAACGCUGGCGGUAGGCCUAACACAUGCAAGUCGAACGGCAGCACAGUAAGAGCUUGCUCUUACGGGUGGCGAGUGGCGGACGGGUGAGGAAUACAUCGGAAUCUACUUUUUCGUGGGGGAUAACGUAGGGAAACUUACGCUAAUACCGCAUACGACCUACGGGUGAAAGCAGGAGAUCUUCGGACCUUGCGCAAUUGAAUGAGCCGAUGUCGGAUUAGCUAGUUGGCGGGGUAAAGGCCCACCAAGGCAACGAUCCGUAGCUGGUCGGAGAGGAUGAUCGGCCGCAAGGGAACUGAGGCACGGGCCAGAGUCCGACGGGAGGCAGCAGUAGGGGAGUUUGAGCAAGGGGCGAAAGCCUGACGGAGCAAAGCCGCGGGAGUGAUGGAAGUCUUCGGAUCGUAAAACUCUGUUAUUAGGGAAGAACAUAUAGGUAAGUAACUGUGCACAGCUGGACGGUACCUAAUCAGAAAACCACGGCUAACUACGUG